AUGACUUCUUUCAUUCAUCAAGCAGGCGGCGGAAAUCGGAAGCGCACUGCAUUGGGCAACCGCACAUACAAAAUCUGCGCACAAGAUGAAGUGCACAUCCAAAAUCUGCAAAAACAAAGAGAAAAAAGGCCUUUUGCGAACUGCAUCGGUGGCAACUCGUGUUCCCAGGAUGCUGUCGCCGUUGUUGACCUUCUUCGCGCACUCUGGGCGGCUGCAGGUGAGGUGGAGCUCCUCCGGCCUUGGACCACGGGUCCACGGUUGCCGCCUGAGGUUGGACGCCCGCAGAUGCGUGAAGAGGCACCGAUGCGGCGCAGCCCGUUCGAUCCCGACGACCUGAGGGUCACGAGAAACCGUGGAUAA
rnacentral:rRNA from 1 species